rnacentral:rRNA from 1 species
CCUACGGGGGGCAGCAGUGGGGAAUAUUGGACAAUGGGCGAAAGCCUGAUCCAGCCAUGCCGCGUGUGUGAAGAAGGCCUUCGGGUUGUAAAGCACUUUCAGUGGGGAAGAAAGCCUUGGGGCUAAUACCCUCGAGGAAGGACAUCACCCACAGAAGAAGCACUGGCUAACUCCGUGCCAGCAGCCGCGGUAAUACGGAGGGUGCGAGCGUUAAUCGGAAUUACUGGGCGUAAAGCGCGCGUAGGCGGUCUGAUAAGCCGGUUGUGAAAGCCCCGGGCUCAACCUGGGAACGGCAUCCGGAACUGUCAGGCUAGAGUGCAGGAGAGGAAGGUAGAAUUCCCGGUGUAGCGGUGAAAUGCGUAGAGAUCGGGAGGAAUACCAGUGGCGAAGGCGGCCUUCUGGACUGACACUGACGCUGAGGUGCGAAAGCGUGGGUAGCAAACAGGAUUAGAUACCCGUGUAGUC